GACGAACGCUGGCGGCGUGCUUAACACAUGCAAGUCGAACGGAAAGGCCCUGCUUUUGUGGGUUGCUCGAGUGGCGAACGGGUGAGUAACACGUGAGUAACCUGCCCUUGACUUUGGGAUAACUUCAGGAAACUGGGGCUCAUACCGGAUAUGAGCUCCUGCUGCAUGGUGGGGGUUGGAAAGUUUCGGCGGUUGGGGAUGGACUCGCGGCUUAUCAGCUUGUUGGUGGGGUAGUGGCUUACCAAGGCUUUGACGGGUAGCCGGCCUGAGAGGGUGACCGGCCACAUUGGGACUGAGAUACGGCCCAGACUCCUACGGGAGGCAGCAGUGGGGAAUAUUGCACAAUGGGCGGAAGCCUGAUGCAGCAACGCCGCGUGCGGGAUGACGGCCUUCGGGUUGUAAACCGCUUUCGCCUGUGACGAAGCGUGAGUGACGGUAAUGGGUAAAGAAGCACCGGCUAACUACGUG
rnacentral:rRNA from 1 species